CCUACGGGUGGCUGCAGUGGGGAAUAUUGCACAAUGGGGGAAACCCUGAUGCAGCGACGCCGCGUGAGUGAAGAAGUAUUUCGGUAUGUAAAGCUCUAUCAGCAGGGAAGAAAAUGACGGUACCUGAAUAAGAAGCUCCGGCUAAUUACGGGCCAGCAGACGCGGUAAUACGUAGGGGGCAAGGGUUAUCCGGAUUUACUGGGUGUAAAGGGAGCGUAGACGGCAGCACAAGUCUGGAGUGAAAUGCCGGGGCUUAACCCCGGAAUUGCUUUGGAAACUGUGCGGAUAGAGGGCAGGAGAGGUAAGUGGAAUUCCUAGUGUAGCGGUGAAAUGCGUAGAUAUUAGGAGGAACACCAGGGGCGAAGGCGGCUUACUGGACUGUAACUGACGUUGAGGCUCGAAAGCGUGGGGAGCAAACAGGAUUAGAUACCCUUGUAGUC
rnacentral:rRNA from 1 species